rnacentral:rRNA from 1 species
UACAGAGGUCCCAAGCGUUGUUCGGAUUCACUGGGCGUAAAGGGUGCGUAGGUGGUGAGGUAAGUCGGAUGUGAAAGCUCGGAGCUCAACUCCGAAAUGGCAUUGGAAACUACCUUGCUCGAGGGUUGGAGGGGGGACUGGAAUACUUGGUGUAGCAGUGAAAUGCGUAGAUAUCAAGUGGAACACCAGUGGCGAAGGCGAGUCCCUGGACAACUCCUGACGCUGAGGCGCGAAAGCGUGGGGAGCAAACAGG